rnacentral:rRNA from 1 species
GACGAACGCUGGCGGCGUGCUUAACACAUGCAAGUCGAACGGAAGGGCCCUGCUUUUGUGGGGUGCUCGAGUGGCGAACGGGUGAGUAACACGUGAGUAACCUGCCCUUGACUUUGGGAUAACUUCAGGAAACUGGGGCUAAUACCGGAUAGGAGCUCCUGCUGCAUGGUGGGGGUUGGAAAGUUUCGGCGGUUGGGGAUGGACUCGCGGCUUAUCAGCUUGUUGGUGGGGUAGUGGCUUACCAAGGCUUUGACGGGUAGCCGGCCUGAGAGGGUGACCGGCCACAUUGGGACUGAGAUACGGCCCAGACUCCUACGGGAGGCAGCAGUGGGGAAUAUUGCACAAUGGGCGGAAGCCUGAUGUAGCAACGCCGCGUGCGGGAUGACGGCCUUCGGGUUGUAAACCGCUUUCGCCUGUGACGAAGCGUGAGUGACGGUAAUGGGUAAAGAAGCACCGGCUAACUACGUG